rnacentral:rRNA from 1 species
GACGAACGCUGGCGGCGUGCCUAAUACAUGCCAGUAGAACGCACAGUUUAUACCGUAGCUUGCUACACCAUAGACUGUGAGUUGCGAACGGGUGAGUAACGCGUAGGUAACCUGCCUGGUAGCGGGGGAUAACUAUUGGAAACGAUAGCUAAUACCGCAUAAUAUUAAUUAUUGCAUGAUAAUUAAUUGAAAGGUGCAAUUGCACCACUACCAGAUGGACCUGCGUUGUAUUAGCUAGUAGGUGAGGUAACGGCUCACCUAGGCGACGAUACAUAGCCGAACUGAGAGGGUGAUCGGCCACACUGGGACUGAGACACGGCCCAGAGGCCUACGGGAGGCAGCAGGAGGGAAACUUCGGCAAGGGACGAAAGUCUGACCGAGCAACGCCGCGGGAGUGAAGAAGGUUGUCGGAUCGGAAAGCUCGGUUGUAAGAGAAGAACGGGUGUGAGAGUGGAAAGUUCACACUGUGACGGUAUCUUACCAGAAAGGGACGGCUAACUACGUG